rnacentral:rRNA from 1 species
CACUUUAUACUGUGAAACUGCGAAUGGCUCAUUAAAUCAGUUAUCGUUUAUUUGAUAGUACCUUACUACAUGGAUACCUGUGGUAAUUCUAGAGCUAAUACAUGCUAAAAACCUCGACUUCGGAAGGGGUGUAUUUAUUAGAUAAAAAACCAAUGCCCUUCGGGGCUCCUUGGUGAUUCAUAAUAACUUAACGAAUCGCAUGGCCUUGCGCCGGCGAUGGUUCAUUCAAAUUUCUGCCCUAUCAACUUUCGAUGGUAGGAUAGUGGCCUACCAUGGUGGCAACGGGUAACGGGGAAUUAGGGUUCGAUUCCGGAGAGGGAGCCUGAGAAACGGCUACCACAUCCAAGGAAGGCAGCAGGCGCGCAAAUUACCCAAUCCCGACACGGGGAGGUAGUGACAAUAAAUACUGAUACGGGGCUCUUUUGGGUCUCGUAAUUGGAAUGAGUACAAUCUAAAUCCCUUAACGAGGAACAAUUGGAGGGCAAGUCUGGUGCCAGCAGCCGCGGUAAUUCCAGCUCCAAUAGCGUAUAUUAAAGUUGUUGCAGUUAAAAAGCUCGUAGUUGAACCUUGGGUCUGGCUGGCCGGUCCGCCUCACCGCGAGUACUGGUCCGGCUGGACCUUUCCUUCUGGGGAACCUCAUGGCCUUCACUGGCUGUGGGGGGAACCAGGACUUUUACUGUGAAAAAAUUAGAGUGUUCAAAGCAGGCCUUUGCUCGAAUACAUUAGCAUGGAAUAAUAGAAUAGGACGUGCGGUUCUAUUUUGUUGGUUUCUAGGACCGCCGUAAUGAUUAAUAGGGAUAGUCGGGGGCGUCAGUAUUCAGCUGUCAGAGGUGAAAUUCUUGGAUUUGCUGAAGACUAACUACUGCGAAAGCAUUCGCCAAGG